UUUCAGAAAAUACCAAGGAAGGGGUAGAGAAGACACAUAAUUCACGCCAAGAAAGCUCCAUUCAAAUGAGAUGGAUGAACCUCGCUGUCCCUCUUGGACAGAAGCACACAUAUGAAUACCUUGCUCACAGCCAGAUUGAUGCACAUGGCUCUUCCAAAACAAACAGAACUAGAUUCUUUGUUUGGCAACCAUUGUAUUCAGACUCACAAUUACUUUUCUAAGGUAUUCUUUUUUCACACAGGGAUCAGAACUGAGCCUGAGAGGAACAGCUGGUCAGAUUUUUUCAUCUUUGGCCUAAGUCACAAACUUCCCACAUUGAUAUUUGGUUGAGAGGGUACUGGAGAUAUAGUAAGGAUGAAGAGAGAGAGACUGACUGCUCCCACUGAGUGGGUGGUACUGAUUAAAAGCAAGUAGACAAUAACCAUGUGGCUUAUCAGGAAUGACCCACUGGAGAGACUGGAAAAGAGGCAUCUUCUGCAUCUGCCAGCAUGGCAUGCAUAUUGAAAUCCCAAUUCAGGAAUGAAAAUCUGAAACCAAGCUAUCUGCUUUUGUGUACUCUGGCACUGCAUCAUUUAAAAUAAUCCAAGAAUGAAAAUAUGAGCUAAGCUGUUUGUUUUUUUAAACAUUGAGCGUGUCAAUCCUGAAAUUCCACUGGACAAGCAUUUACUCUCCACAAAGGUAAGAGUUCCUGUUGACCUUGAAUUAUUCAGAUGUCUAACAAUACAGUACCCUCCAAUAUGUGUUCAUUCUGAACAAAUAGA